GACCUAAUGGCAAAACGGUUAUCGCGUCCGCACUUCGUAGGCAGGGUGUUCCGAUGAAAUGAAAUGGUUCGGCGGAAGUCCCUGGUUCAACUCCAGGUUAGGUCA